rnacentral:rRNA from 1 species
GACGGACGCUGGCGGCGUGCUUAACACAUGCAAGUCGAACGGAAAGGCCCCAGCUUGCUGGGGUACUCGAGUGGCGAGCGGGUGAGUAACACGUGGGUGAUCUGCCCUGCACUCUGGGAUAAGCCUGGGAAACUGGGUCUAAUACCGGAUAGGACCGUGCUUUAGUGUGUGCGGUGGAAAGUUUUUCGGUGCAGGAUGAGCCCGCGGCCUAUCAGCUUGUUGGUGGGGUAAUGGCCUACCAAGGCGGCGACGGGUAGCCGGCCUGAGAGGGUGUACGGCCACAUUGGGACUGAGACACGGCCCAGACUCCUACGGGAGGCAGCAGUGGGGAAUAUUGCACAAUGGGCGCAAGCCUGAUGCAGCGACGCCGCGUGGGGGAUGACGGCCUUCGGGUUGUAAACCCCUUUCGGCAGGGACGAAGCUUUUGUGACGGUACCUGCAUAAGAAGCACCGGCUAACUACGUG